rnacentral:rRNA from 1 species
GACGAACGCUGGCGGCGCGCUUAACACAUGCAAGUCGAACGGAAAGGCCUGCUUUCCCUUGUGGAUUGCGGGUACUCGAGUGGCGAACGGGUGAGUAACACGUGAGUGAUCUGCCCCCAACUUGGGUAUAAGCCUGGGAAACUGGGUCUAAUUCCCGAUAGGACUGCAGGGUGGUGCCUGUGGUGGAAAACGAUUUUCUAGUGGUUGGGGAUGAGCUCGCGGCCUAUCAGCUUGUUGGUGGGGUAAUGGCCUACCAAGGCGGCGACGGGUAGCCGGCCUGAGAGGGUGGACGGCCACAUUGGGACUGAGAUACGGCCCAGACUCCUACGGGAGGCAGCAGUGGGGAAUAGUGCGCAAUGGGCGGAAGCCUGAUGCAGCGACGCCGCGUGGGGGAUGACGGCCUUCGGGUUGUAAACUCCUUUCGACCGCGAGGAAGCCACCUGGUUGGAAGGGUGGUGACGGUAGUGGUAGAAGAAGCACCGGCUAACUACGUG